rnacentral:pre_miRNA from 11 species
ACUGACUCUUCCUGUUAAUGGGAUUUUCCUUUGUGCUUGAUCUAACCAUGUGGUAGAACAAUACAAAUUGAACAUGGUUCUGUCAAGCACCAUGGAAGGCUCCAUGCUUUCCUGCAGCAUGGCA